AUUGAACGCUGGCGGCAGGCUUAACACAUGCAAGUCGAGCGGAGAGAGGUAGCUUGCUACUGAUCUCAGCGGCGGACGGGUGAGUAAUGCUUAGGAAUCUGCCUAUUAGUGGGGGACAACAUUUCGAAAGGAAUGCUAAUACCGCAUACGUCCUACGGGAGAAAGCAGGGGAUCUUCGGACCUUGCGCUAAUAGAUGAGCCUAAGUCGGAUUAGCUAGUUGGUGGGGUAAAGGCCUAUCAAGGCGACGAUCUGUAGCGGGUCUGAGAGGAUGAUCCGCCACACUGGGACUGAGACACGGCCCAGACUCCUACGGGAGGCAGCAGUGGGGAAUAUUGGACAAUGGGCGGAAGCCUGAUCCAGCCAUGCCGCGUGUGUGAAGAAGGCCUUAUGGUUGUAAAGCACUUAAGCGAGGAGGAGGCUACUUUAGUUAAUACCUAGAGAUAGUGGACGUUACUCGCAGAAUAAGCACCGGCUAACUCUGUGCCAGCAGCCGCGGUAAGAC
rnacentral:rRNA from 1 species